UCAAAAGUGCAAGGAAGCAGUUCAGCGUGCAGGCCCUGUGAAUGGGGGUGCCCCGCGGGGCAGAGAAUACGCGAGUGCAAGUAAACGUCUGGAAACAGCGUGCACGCCUUGGUGGUCAGCAGGUCAGCUGGCUGGAGGAAUCUCCUGCGACUGGCAGCAUUCCAUUUGUGCCUGAUGUUCCUGUAAACUCCAGCCACAACCCCUGUGGGGAGGAGGGGCUGCUGUGGAGAAUGAGAUAUGAAGUUGAAAGCUGAUGGAGUUUCACUCUGUUGUCCAGGCUGGAGUGGCACAAUCUCGGCUCACUGCAACCUCCGCCUCUGAGUUCAAGUGAUUCUCCUGCCUCGGCCUCCCAAGUAGCUGGGGAUUACAGGCACGCACCACCACACCCGGCUAAUUUUUGUAUUUUUAGUAGAGCAGAGGUUUCACCAUGUUGGCCAGGCUGGUCUCGAACUCCUGACCUCAGGUGAUCUGCCCACCUUGGCCUCCCAAAGUAUUGGGAUUACAGGCGAGAUCCACCGUGCCUGGCAUCCAUGAAAUUUUUUGAUGAAAAACUAGUUCAUAAUUUAUAAAGUGUAGAUACAAAUGUACUGCACUCAGCCUUCUUCUAUGGAAGUGAAGAUGAGAGGCUGCGUAUAUCACUCGCGAACCUUCCAGACAACUGAAGAAUAACAAUGAAUACUGCCAUCUUCCCAGAGCUCCAGCACUAAUCUUUGUUAAGGCUUAGAGGAAACCACUUUUCUCAGUUUUGAUGUCUAUGAAUCUGCAAUCACUAAUGAAUGGGGAAAAGUCUGUGAAACAUUUAUUUCCUACAUCAAUGAUUAAAAUUAGCUGUUUUUAGAGCAGAAUGAACAACAUACAAAGCAGGUUGGACGACAUCUAUUUCACACAAUUGCAUCUCAGUUUCUGACCUAGGUAAAAUCCUGCAUAAAUGUAGGAGAAUCCUCUAUAUUAAUAUGUUCUGUAUUCAGGUUUAAGAGAUGUGCAUUUACAUUUACAUUUUAUUAAUUCAUCAACUGAUACUUAAGAAUUAAAACUCUCAAAAUCAGAAGACGAUGCUUUUUGGUAAAGAAAAAAAGAAACAGGCUAUAAGUAAAAACAGGUAUAAAAAUUAACACAAAACCUUUGAGUAAUGUAUUUAUCCUAUAAGCGGAAAAUUCUGAGAAUAAUGGAGGACUGAGGGGAUUAAAAUGCCACGCAGUAGAUGGACUAUUUCAGAUUUUAUAGUCAGGGAAACUGGCUUCGGGAGGACAGCUCUCAAUUCAUGUACUUUACGUAAGAGCAGUUCUUUCUAUAGGCCAUAAAGUUGUAGGUGAUACAAUCAACUGGGUUAUAAAAUAGCUUCUUUUUAGAAUGGAGAUGAUACAAAAAUCAAUUUCUACAACCAUCAUUUCCUCCUGAACACCUCUUUCACUUUCAACCUAAACUUACUCUCCCCUUUGGGAAUUCCCAGUGUAUUUCUUUGAGAUGUCUUCCACAUUAACAGUAGAGCCUACAAAGAACCAACAUGCAGAGGCUACUUGUCAAAGGGCACUUUCUGUAGGUAGUCUAAAAGAACACAAUUAUACACAUACACAAACGUGUACAGGUAUACGCAAAAGGGAAAAGGAGAUGCAAGAGUACUGUACUACUGCUUUAACAAAUGCUCUCACCCAAUCCACCUUAUCCAUCUUACAGGAUAGAAACACUAUUUAGGGUUUAAAAUACGCAAAAAAACAUUUUUUUUAAAUAUAUAAACCAUCUAUGGAAGCAUAUUUUGCCUUCUGUUAUGACCCUCAUCAUUCCUCAACUCAUAUUCUAAAAGCCUGAGAGGUGAAAAUCUUCUGAACAGCUGAACCACCCACAGAACCUGAAAAUUAUUAUACAUUUUGCACAUGAUUAACCUAUAUUCACCACUGAGGUUUAACCAAGAACCAGAUUCACAUAGGUAAUAGGGGUCACAACUACUUUUUCAUAAAAUAUACCCUCCUACUGGCCAGGUGAGGUGGCUCACGCCUGUAAUUCCAGCACUUCAGAUUGCUUGAGCCCAGGAAUUCAAGACCAGUCUGGGCAACAUGGCAAAACCCUGUCUCUACUAAAAAUACAAAAAUUAACUGGGUGUGGUGGCACAUGCCUGUAGUCCCAGCUACUUGGGGAGGCUGAGGUGGGAUGGCUUGAGCCUGGAAGGUGAAGGUUGCAGUGAGCCAAGAUCACGACUUUGUACUUAAGUCUGGGCAACAGAGCGAGACCCUGUCUCAAAAAAAAAAAAAAAAAAAAAAAAAAAAUCUAUGCAUCCAUCUAUCUAUACAAACACACAUCCUCCUACUUUACAUAAAUGUACAAUUCCAUGUCUAUUCUUAGCAUGUUUUCAGUUAAAAUUAGAUUACUGAUGUUUACAAGAAGCACGGUCAAAUGAUUUUUUUCAUUUUAUGUCAAUGUUUACACGCCAACCCUCCAGAAGGUUGGGACAAUGGGAAGAGGGCAUUGGACUGGAUGUAAAGCCUGAGGCCAGGGGUCUAGUUUUGUUAGGGUCUAGAUUCUCACCCCAGAAUCUUACCCCCUCAGGCAAUCACUCAAAUUGAAAUAUCACUUCUAUUGGUCCUGAUACUCUACUUCAGUAGUUAUCUUACUUCUUCCUUUGAAUGUAAACCAUUUAUAGCUAAGUAGAGUAUAUUUUAGUAUAAGAACACAGUGAAGGCUGGGUGCGGUGGCUCACACCUGUAAUCCCAGCACUUUGGGAGGCCGAGGCGGGCGGAUCACGAGGUCAAGAGCUCGAGACCAGCCUGACCAACAUAGUGAAACCCCGUCUCUACUAAAAAUAUAAAAAUUAGCUGGGCGUAGUGGCGCGCGCCUGUAAUCCCAGCUACUUGGGAGGCUGGGGCAGGAGAAUCGCUUGAACCUGGGAGGCGGAGGUUGCAGUGAGUGGAGAUCGCAACACUGCAUUCCAGCCUGGGCGACAGGGCGAGACUCCGUCUCAAAAAACAAACAAACAAAAAACACAUAGUGAAGACCAAACAAAAUUUCAUCUGUACUAAUAAUGACUCACGGUGGGCCAGAGCUCAAGUCAGUAUGUAAUAAGAAAGCAAAGGGAAAAAAAAAAUCAUUUACUUCACUAAAACUUCUGUUGUUUCUUUAAAACUCUAAACAAAAUUGACCCUAUAAGUAAAGAUAUUCAUUCUUAUCAUUUUUUAACAAGCAAAUUUUAAUAAUGCCUUUUAUUUCUAUACAAAGCAAUGUAACUUUCU
rnacentral:lncRNA from 1 species